GAGGGAACUACAAUAUAGGUCCGAAGAUCAAAUAUUAGUCAAUGUUAAUUAUUGUUUUGUUCCACUUAAAAAUAAAUAAAUAAAGAAAUAAAUGAAUAAAAAAUAAAUAAAUAAUUAUAAAUGAAUAAAAAUAAUAAUAAUAAUAAUAAUAUAGCAUUUAAUUACUAUGUUUGUUCUAGAAUGUAGUUUAAUUGCGAGUCGGUGUUUAACUGCAGUUCUGUUCUAUUCAUGAUAAAUACUUAGAUACUGUGAUGUGGUUUAAAUACAGGUCAGUGAUUUAACUGCUGUUUUGUUCUACUCGUGAAAAUUAGUAAGAUAUUAGGAUGUAAUUUAAAUGCAAGUCAGCGAUUUAACUGCUGUUUUGUUAUACUCACGAUAAAUAUUUUGAUACUCACUAAGUAUGUAGUGUAAAUACAGGUCAGUGAUUUCACUGCUGUUUUGUUCUACUCUUACAAUUAAAAAUACCGUAAGGAACAUGUUAAUUCCCACAUUGACAGGUCAGUGAAUACCUGCUGUUGGAUAUCUAAAUACUCCUCGUCUGACUUUGCUUACUUGCUGGCUCAAUAAACAAUAUUUUUCGAUAUGUCAUUUUCUCUGAAAUUAGUUUUCUUCCAUACUUACAUGUAUUACUCAAUAUUGUUAUUUAUUAACAUUGCUCGGAGAUUAUAUUAAUACCGGUAUUUCCUCCAUUAUUUGACAUGUAACUACAUUUUAGUGAUAACUGGUAAUGGAAUAAUUAAUGAAAGGUAGAAUUUUGUUUUUCAUUUCAUUACUUUAAGAUGUUUGGAGAGGCCAGUGAUUAACUGCCUUCAUAUAGAUUUGAUUUGUGCAAGCUCACCUUGGAUGGCACGGAUGUGAUUUGCAUGUCACAUCUUACAUGGAUGUGACCUGCAUAUCACAUCUUGUGGCCUAUUUUAUUUUGAUGUGCCAUCUAUUUGCUAACUUUUUAAUAUGAUGUUUUGAUUGUCUUGUCUUACAGAUACUUUUUUAUAGUCAGUUUUGGGGGAUCAGACAUUAUCAUAUUUUACGUAACUGAUAAGCAAAGCUUGUGAAUCUGAUCCCCCUUCUUGUUUGUUAAAUUGUUCACAUUUAUACCGUCAUUUUAAUAAAUGACAUUUUUCAUCAACAUCAAAGUGUUUUAUUUGACUUUUACAAAAUUAGCAAAAACAAGCUGCGGUGAUCUUGCCUAUAAGCAUUAGAAGACAUAAAACAGCAAUUAUUAGAAUAAUAAUUGUAUUUAUGUAUUUAAUGCGAUAAUUUGUUUGGAGGUUUUCGGAAACAUUUACGUUGGUAAAUUGUGAAAAUUCUCAGAUCCACGCCUUGCCUAAUUGUAAUGGAAUGUGUAAGGUCACGUGGUCAGCUCAGCGAGUCAUUCACACUCGCGCGCUCACCACCGCUAACAUGAAGCACGUCUAUUUUGAAGACCCACCUCCACCCCAACAUUCCUAUCCCUUAAUAUGAUCAUUAAUGUGUCAUGUAAAAUUUAUAUUAUAUUAUAGUUUUUACUCAAUUGUUUUACGCUUUCAUGUAUUUGGUUUUGAUUAUGAUCUUUUUGCAAACUUUUUCUUUUGAGGUUUUGUUUGUGUCUUUGAUGUACCAUCUUUUUGCCAACUUUUUCUUGUGAUGUUUGCCUAUUUUAUUUUGAUGUGCCAUCUAUUUGCUAACUUUUUAAUAUGAUGUUUUGAUUGUCUUGUCUUACAGAUACUUUUUUAUAGUCAGUUUUGGGGGAUCAGACAUUAUCAUAUUUUACGUAACUGAUAAGCAAAGCUUGUGAAUCUGAUCCCCCUUCUUGUUUGUUAAAUUGUUCACAUUUAUACCGUCAUUUUAAUAAAUGACAUUUUUCAUCAACAUCAAA